GAUGAACGCUAGCGGCAGGCUUAACACAUGCAAGUCGAGGGGUAUAGUUCUUCGGAGCUAGAGACCGGCGCACGGGUGCGUAACGCGUAUGCAAUCUACCUUUUGCAGAGGGAUAGCCCAGAGACAUUUGGAUUAAUACCUCAUGGUAUGUGAGAAUGGCAUCAUUUUCACAUUAAAGUCACAACGGCAAAAGAUGAGCAUGCGUCCCAUUAGCUAGUUGGUAAGGUAACGGCUUACCAAGGCAACGAUGGGUAGGGGUCCUGAGAGGGAGAUCCACCACACUGGUACUGAGACACGGACCAGACUCCUACGGGAGGCAGGAGUGAGGAAUAUUGGACAAUGGGCGCAAGCCUGAUCCAGCCAUGCCGCGUGCAGGAUGACGGUCCUAUGGAUUGUAAACUGCUUUUGUACAGGAAGAAACACUGGUUCGUGAACCAGCUUGACGGUACUGUAAGAAUAAGGAUCGGCUAACUCCGUGCCAGCAGCCGCAGUAAAAC
rnacentral:rRNA from 1 species